GGGAGCCGCGCCGAAAGUAGCCCGUCCCCCGCGGGAAGCGGGGGGGGAGAGAGAGAAAGGAAUACUUCCAGAAGCUUCGACACCGCGGUCCGACUUACCCCCGCGUUGCCUGAGGUGGUGAAGGAAAGGAGGCCUAGCCGACCGGGCCUGCCUUGGGGCUCCUCCGCGCGCCUUUUUCCUCCCCCCCCCGCCCUUCCGCGCCUCAGUCGUCGUCGUCGACCUUCCGGCCUUGCUUUCUUCCCCAACCAGACGAGGCGUCGUGCGAUCUCCCUCGCUCGCUCCGGUUCCCUCCUUCGUCGUCGUCUUUUUUUACCUCAGACACUUCCCCAAGGCCUGUGAGGGAGUGAGGGCCCUCGGCGGGAAAUAAUCCAACAGGCCGCCGUAGGUAGAGGAGGAAGAGGAGGGUCGAAGCGAGGCCUUCUGAGGGGAAGGACGUGGGAUAGAAGGGUCGUCGUCGUCGUCGUCUCUCCCGGUUUGAGCGCGGCGACUGAGGCCAGCGAGGCGGGCGGAGGAUUCAAUUCGGCGGCGGCGGCGGCGGCGCUGGGGAUUGUUUGGGGUGUUCGCAGCUCGGCGGCUGGCGAGGGAAUGGAGGGCGCAGGCGCCACCUGGCGGCCACCGAGCCCGCCACGUUCGGGCGGGCCUAGAGCGGCACCUGCUGGGAGGACUUAGGAAUGCAGGAAGGGGGGGAGGGAGAGCAAAAGAGAGUGAGAGAGCGUGCGCGCCCACUUGGUGCUCCGUCCGGGCUGGCCGAAAAAACGGGGUAAACAAGGUGCCGCGCACGCGCUGUCUCUUUUUUCCUCCCUUGACUCGAAUCGCCACGCCUUCCUCGCCGCCGUGACGUCAUCGCCCCUCAAGGCCCCGCCCAUGCCUGUUCUGCCUUGGAGCGCGCGGGAGGUGCUGAGCGGCACGUAGCGCCCCAGGUGGGGGAGGGGAGGAAAGAGGGCGGCAUUUUUUGGCCUUUGGAAGAGGCUGCAACUGCAAUCGGGCUGCUUGCGAUCAAAGACCAACCUUGGAGCUUGGUGGGACUUCAAUUCCCAGAAUUCCCCCAACCUUAAUUAGCAUCUUUUGCCAGAGUUGAUAAGUGAAGCAUUGCAGUCACUAAGCGAAUCAAGCAAUGGUUCAAUGAUUCCGGCUCCUCCCCCCACUGACUUUGAAUAUUGGAAGAGGUUGCAUCAGGGGAAGUGAUCCCCCCCAGAACAUUGCAACUGGCAUAAGUACAUGCCAGUUUCCAAGCAUCCCAAUUUUGAUCAUGUGACAUUGGGGAGGCUGUAAUAGUCUUGUAAGUAUGAAAACAAGUCAGCAGAUACAUUUUUUUUUCAGUGCCGUCAUUUCCCCUCCCCCGAUUCUGUUCUAUUGUAUUUUAUUAAUUUGAUUCUUUUUGUUAGUUUUUAUUUUUUAUUUUAAAUACAGUUUUACAUUGUGUAAGCUGCCUCCAGUUGCCAUAGGCGAAUAUUUAAUUAUUUAAUCUUGGUGCCUAUUCGCCCGUGG
rnacentral:lncRNA from 1 species